rnacentral:rRNA from 1 species
CGCGUAGGCGGUCUUGUCGGUCAGAUGUGAAAGCCCAGGGCUCAACCCUGGACGUGCAUUUGAAACAGCAAGGCUUGAGUACGGGAGAGGAAAGCGGAAUUCCUGGUGUAGAGGUGAAAUUCGUAGAUAUCAGGAGGAACACCGAUGGCGAAGGCAGCUUUCUGGACCGAUACUGACGCUGAGGCGCGAAGGCGUGGGUAGCGAACAGGAUUAGAUACCCUGGUAGUCC